UACCUUAGUAACGGCGAGUGAAGCGGUAACAGCUCAAAUUUGAAAUCUGGGUCUUUUAGGCUCCGAGUUGUAAUUUGUAGAAGAUGCUUUGGGUGCGGCCCCGGUCUAAGUUCCUUGGAACAGGACGUCAUAGAGGGUGAGAAUCCCGUAUGUGAUCGGUGGCUUGCGCCCGUGUAAAGCUCUUUCGACGAGUCGGGUUGUUUGGGAAUGCAGCUCUAAAUGGGUGGUAAAUUUCAUCUAAAGCUAAAUAUUGGCCAGAGACCGAUAGCGCACAAGUAGAGUGAUCGAAAGAUGAAAAGCACUUUGGAAAGAGAGUUAAACAGUACGUGAAAUUGUUGAAAGGGAAGCGCUUGCAACCAGACUUGCGCGGGGUUGAUCAUCCGGGGUUCUCCCCGGUGCACUCGGCCUCGCUCAGGCCAGCAUCGGUUUUGGUGGUUGGAUAAAGGCCUUGGGAAUGUGACUUCUUUCGGGGAGUGUUAUAGCCCUCGGUGCAAUGCAGCCUACCGGGACCGAGGACCGCGCUUCGGCUAGGAUGCUGGCGUAAUGGUUGUAAGCGACCCGUCUUGAAACACGGACCAAGGAGUCUAACAUCUAUGCGAGUGUUUGGGUGUCAAACCCAUACGCGUAAUGAAAGUGAACGGAGGUGAGAACCCUUAAGGGUGCAUCAUCGACCGAUCCUGAUGUCUUCGGAUGGAUUUGAGUAAGAGCAUAGCUGUUGGGACCCGAAAGAUGGUGAACUAUGCCUGAAUAGGGUGAAGCCAGAGGAAACUCUGGUGGAGGCUCGCAGCGGUUCUGACGUGCAAAUCGAUCGUCAAAUUUGGGCAUAGGGGCGAAAGACUAAUCGAACCAUCUAGUAGCUGGUU
rnacentral:rRNA from 1 species